AUGAACGCUAGCGGGAGGCCUAACACAUGCAAGCCGAGCGGUAUUGUUUCUUCGGAAAUGCGAGAGCGGCGUACGGGUGCGUAACACGUGUGCAACCUGCCUUUAUCUGGGGGAUAGCCUUUCGAAAGGAAGAUUAAUACUCCAUAAUAUAUUGAACGGCAUCGUUUAAUAUUGAAAGCUCCGGCGGAUAGAGAUGGGCACGCGCAAGAUUAGCUAGUUGGUGAGGUAACGGCUCACCAAGGCGAUGAUCUUUAGGGGGCCUGAGAGGGUGAUCCCCCACACUGGUACUGAGACACGGACCAGACUCCUACGGGAGGCAGCAGUGAGGAAUAUUGGUCAAUGGGUGCAAGCCUGAACCAGCCAUCCCGCGUGAAGGACGACUGCCCUAUGGGUUGUAAACUUCUUUUGUAUAGGGAUAAACCUACCCUCGAGAGGGUAGCUGAAGGUACUAUACGAAUAAGCACCGGCUAACUCCGUG
rnacentral:rRNA from 1 species